rnacentral:rRNA from 1 species
UACGAAGGGGGCUAGCGUUGUUCGGAAUUACUGGGCGUAAAGCGUAUGCAGGCGGAUCGUUAAGUCGGGGGUGAAAUCCCGAGGCUCAACCUCGGAACUGCCUUCGAUACUGGCGACCUUCGAGUCCGGGAGAGGUGAGUGGAACUCCGAGUGUAGAGGUGAAAUUCGUAGAUAUUCGGAAGAACACCAGUGGCGAAGGCGGCUCACUGGCCCGGUACUGACGCUGAGAUACGAAAGCGUGGGGAGCAAACGGG